rnacentral:rRNA from 1 species
UACGAAGGGGGCUAGCGUUGUGCGGAAUUACUGGGCGUAAAGCGCACGUAGGCGGCUAUUUAAGUCAGGGGGGAAAUCCCGCAGCUCAACUGCGGAACUGCCUUUGAUACUGGGUAUCUUGAGUAUGGAAGAGGUAAGUGGAAUUGCGAGUGUAGAGGUGAAAUUCGUAGAUAUUCGCAGGAACACCAGUGGCGAAGGCGGCUUACUGGUCCAUUACUGACGCUGAGGUGCGAAAGCGUGGGGAGCAAACAGG